CCUGAACGCUGGCGGCGUGGCUAAGACAUGCAAGUCGCACGGAUGUAGCAAUACAUCAGUGGCGAACGGGUGAGUAAUGAAUCGCUAAUGUACCCCGGACUCUGGGAUAGCUAGCCGAAAGGUUAGGUAAUACCAGAUGAUAUACCUUUAUCGCAUGAUAAAGGUCUCAAAGGUCCGCCGGUCUGGGAGCAGGCGAUUUCGUAUCAGCUAGUUGGGAGGUAACGGCUCACCAAGGCGACGACGCGUAGCCGGACUGAGAGGUUGGCCGGCCACAUUGGGACUGAGACACUGCCCAGACUCCUACGGGGGCUGCAGUAACGAAUCUUCCGCAAUGCACGAAAGUGUGACGGAGCGACGCCGCGUGUGGGACGAAGCCCUUCGGGGU
rnacentral:rRNA from 1 species